CCUACGGGAGGCAGCAGUGGGGAAUUUUGGACAAUGGGGGCAACCCUGAUCCAGCAAUGCCGCGUGAGUGAAGAAGGCCUUCGGGUUGUAAAGCUCUUUUGUCAGGGAAGAAAAGGUAGUCUCUAAUACAGACUGCUCAUGACGGUACCUGAAGAAUAAGCACCGGCUAACUACGUGCCAGCAGCCGCGGUAAUACGUAGGGUGCAAGCGUUAAUCGGAAUUACUGGGCGUAAAGCGUGCGCAGGCGGUUAUAUAAGUCAGAUGUGAAAUCCCUGGGCUCAACCUAGGAACUGCAUUUGAGACUGUAUGGCUAGAGUGUGUCAGAGGGGGGUAGAAUUCCACGUGUAGCAGUGAAAUGCGUAGAUAUGUGGAGGAAUACCGAUGGCGAAGGCAGCCCCCUGGGAUAACACUGACGCUCAUGCACGAAAGCGUGGGGAGCAAACAGGAUUAGAUACCCUGGUAGUCCACGCCCUAAACGAUGUCUACUAGUUGUUGGGUCUUAAUUGACUUAGUAACGCAGCUAACGCGUGAAGUAGACCGCCUGGGGAGUACGGUCGCAAGAUUAAAACUBAAAUGAAUUGACGG
rnacentral:rRNA from 1 species